GCAAUCUCUUAGACUCUUCCUCUCCCAAUCAUCUCUCAUUUUCUCUCUCUCUAUCGUCAACUUUUCACCAUUUACACUCCAAGCCCCUGCAAAACCCUCCAAUUAUACAAAACCCCCAAAUUUUCACCUACGGUACCCUCUCUGCCUCCCUCUAUAUCCCAUUUUAAUUUCUAUUUCUCUCCAUUGUUCCUUUUAUUGUAAAUUUCUAUAAUUUUAGGGUUUCGUUUGAUCUUUUCAUACAACCUAGGGUUUUUUCUUUUUUCUGCUGCGUGCUUAGAUACUGGAGGAGAAUUGGAGCAUUAUCGUAGACUUCUGUCGAUUUAAUGGAGGCUGCGACCGGUGUCGUCGCCCCACGCGGUGCUUCUCUGUCGAUGCCAUCGUCUAGGAAGGAGUGGCGUGUCGUUUCCGACCACCAUUCCGUUCGAAACGCCGGUGAUGAGGAAUUGGAACGGCCAAAUUUGGGGCAAUCGGAUGAGAGAACAAUAUAUGAGCAUGGAAGAGCCCCAGCUGAUGUUGACUUCUGUUCGAUCAAUGUGGAUGGUAGUUUGGACAAUGACAUUAUGCAGCAGCGAAUUCAUAGUAUUACCAGGCAAAGAGAAGAGUUACAACAUAUGGAGAUUGAACUUAAAGCUCAGCUGAUCUCAAGAUCUGAGAUCAUGGAAAUGCGGAACAGAUUUGAUGCUCAAAUCAAAGAGCAUGAAGAUGCUGCUGCAAAACAUAAGGAACAACUUCUUGAAAGGGAACAAGCCAUACAUGAAUUAGAAAGGAGAAUGGAAGAGAAAGAUAGAGAAUUGCAUGCCAUUAAAUUGGAUAAUGAAGCGGCCUGGGCCAAGGAAGAUCUUCUCAGAGAGCAAAAUAAAGAAUUGGCAACAUUUAGAAGAGAGCGGGAUCAUUCUGAAGCUGAAAGGGCACAGCAUAUACAGCAAAUACGUGACCUUCAAGAACUUGUUCAAGAUAAAGAGAGGCAGAUUCUUGAAUUGCAGGAACAGGUCUAUUGAUUGGAAGUUUACAUAUCUGGUUCUCCAUUAAGAGUAUAAUUUGUGGUGCUUAUUUAAAAUUUUAACUAAUAGAAUAGCAAUUUGUAUUCUUCUUAGAUUCUUCCUUUAUCAAAUUGCUGAUCAAUUAAAUUAUUUAUCAAUGUGAGGAUCAGGAGGUCUGAUAUUGAUCUCAUCUUUCAGCAUAGAGCUAAUCAGGAGGCC
rnacentral:misc_RNA from 1 species